rnacentral:rRNA from 1 species
UACAGAGGGUGCGAGCGUUAAUCGGAAUUACUGGGCGUAAAGCGCACGUAGGUGGCGACGUAAGUCGGGUGUGAAAGCCCCGGGCUCAACCUGGGAAUUGCAUUCGAGACUGCAUUGCUGGAGUACGGAAGAGGAGGGCGGAAUUCCCGGUGUAGCGGUGAAAUGCGUAGAUAUCGGGAGGAACAUCAGUGGCGAAGGCGGUUCUCUGGGACGGUACUGACGCUGAGACGCGGAAAGCGUGGGGAGCGAACAGG